rnacentral:rRNA from 1 species
UAACGUGAGCGUCCUAAGGUAGCGCGAUAAUUUGCUUUUCAAUUGAAGGAUGGUAUGAAAGGGUUAACGAAGAAGGUGCUGUGUCUAAAAAUUCAAUUUAAACUAACUUUAAGGUGAAGAGGCCUUUAUGUAAAAGAAGGACGACAAGACCCUAUGAAGCUUUAUCUUAAUUGGAGCUCUCAGGCUCUUAUACGAUUCUGAUGGGAGAUCAGUAGAAAUAAGUCUUCUACUAUCAUAUUAAUCUUACUAGUAUUUCCUAACUUUAUAUGUGUGGCUAGCUACUCUAGGGAUAACAGCGCAAUUUCUCCCGAAAGAUGGUAUUGGAGGGGAAGAUUGCGACCUCGAUGUUGGCUUUAGAUAUCCUAGAGGCGUAGAAGCUUCU